AGCUUGCUUUCUCGAGCGAGUGGCGAACGGGUGAGUAACGCGUGAGGAACCUGCCUCAAAGAGGGGGACAACAGUUGGAAACGACUGCUAAUACCGCAUAAGCCCACAGCUCGGCAUCGAGCAGAGGGAAAAGGAGCAAUCCGCUUUGAGAUGGCCUCGCGUCCGAUUAGCUAGUUGGUGAGGUAAUGGCCCACCAAGGCGACGAUCGGUAGCCGACCUGAGAGGGUGAUCGGCCACAUUGGGACUGAGACACGGCCCAAACUCC
rnacentral:rRNA from 1 species